UACACAGGAAGUAUAAAAAACUAAACUUUUCCGAUUUUAGAGUCAGAAUAUAAUAACAUUCUAAUGUUUGACAUAAGAGUGAAAGGGGUGGUUGACCCUG